AGCCACGGUCACCCCAACAAGCCAGAUCUUAUCUGACCUCCGAAGUUAAGCAGGGUCGGGCCGACUUAGCUAGGACAAUCACAGAAGAUAAAUCAUAAAUGUGGCAA
rnacentral:rRNA from 1 species